AACGAACGCUGGCGGCAUGCCUAACACAUGCAAGUCGAACGAGACCUUCGGGUCUAGUGGCGCACGGGUGCGUAACGUGUGGGAACCUGCCCUUAGGUUCGGAAUAACUCCCCGAAAGGGGUGCUAAUACCGGAUAAUGUCUUCGGACCAAAGAUUUAUCGCCUUUGGAUGGGCCCGCGUUGGAUUAGCUAGUUGGUAGGGUAAAAGCCUACCAAGGCGACGAUCCAUAGCUGGUCUGAGAGGAUGAUCAGCCACACUGGGACUGAGACACGGCCCAGACUCCUACGGGAGGCAGCAGUGGGGAAUAUUGGACAAUGGGCGAAAGCCUGAUCCAGCAAUGCCGCGUGAGUGAUGAAGACCUUAGGGUUGUAAAGCUCUUUUACCCGGGAUGAUAAUGACAGUACCGGGAGAAUAAGCUCCGGCUAACUCCGUG
rnacentral:rRNA from 1 species